AUUGAACGCUGGCGGCAGGCUUAACACAUGCAAGUCGAGCGAGCGGCGGACGGGUGAGUAAUGUCUGGGAAACUGCCUGAUGGAGGGGGAUAACUACUGGAAACGGUAGCUAAUACCGCAUACCAUCAGAUGUGCCCAGAUGGGAUUAGCUAGUAGGUGGGGUAAUGGCUCACCUAGGCGACGAUCCCUAGCUGGUCUGAGAGGAUGACCAGCCACACGGGAAUAGAGACACGGUCCGGACUCCUACGGGAGGCGGCGGUGGGGAAUAUUGCACAAUGGGCGCAAGCUGGAUGCAGCCAUGCCGCGUGUGUGAAGAAGGCCUGCGGGUUGUAAAGUACUUUCAGUCGGGAGGCGUUACCGACAGAAGAAGCACCGGCUAACUCCGUGCCAGCAGCCGCGGUAAUUC
rnacentral:rRNA from 1 species